rnacentral:rRNA from 1 species
CCACUGAGAAGAUAGUGGACGGAACGGGUGAAGUAACACGGUACGGGUAACCUCGCCCAAGUAAGGAGGGGGAAUAACACGUACCGGGAAACGGGUGACUAAUACCGCAUAGUUUCUUGAUCGCAUGAUUGAGAAAGGAAAGACGGCCUUUGUGCUGUCGCUUAUGGAUGGACCCGCGGCGUAUUAGUUAGUUGGUGAGGUAACGGCUCACCAAGACGAUGAUACGUAGCCGACCUGAGAGGGUGAUCGGCCACAUUGGGACUGAGACACGGCCCAAACUCCUACGGGAGGCAGCAGUAGGGAAUCUUCCGCAAUGGACGAAAGUCUGACGGAGCAACGCCGCGUGAGUGAAGAAAGGUUUUCGGAUCGUAAAACUCUGUUGUCAGAGAAGAACAAGUUGGAGAGUAACUGCUCCAGCCUUGACGGUAUCUGACCAGAAAGCCACGGCUAACUACGUGCCAGCAGCCGC